AGUGAACGCUGGCGGUAGGCCUAACACAUGCAAGUCGAACGGCAGCCCAGUAAGAGCUCGCUCUUACGGGUGGCGAGUGGCGGACGGGUGAGGAAUACAUCGGAAUCUACUUUUUCGUGGGGGAUAACGUAGGGAAACUUACGCUAAUACCGCAUACGACCUCCGGGUGAAAGCAGGGGAUCUUCGGACCUUGCGCGAUUGAAUGACCCGAUGUCGGAUUAGCUAGUUGGCGGGGUAAAGGCCCACCAAGGCGACGAUCCGUAGCGGGUCUGAGAGGAGGAUCAGCCACACUGGAACGGAGACACGGUCCAGACUCCUACGGGAGGCAGCAGUGGGGAAUAUUGGACAAUGGGCGCAAGCCUGAUCCAGCCAUACCGCGUGGGUGAAGAAGGCCUUCGGGUUGUAAAGCCCUUUUGUUGUGAAAGAAAAGCAGCAGGUUAAUACCCCGCUGUUCUGACGGUACCCAAUGAAUAAGCACCGGCUAACUUCGUG
rnacentral:rRNA from 1 species